CAAAAAACAAAAACAAACAUAGCCCACGGAUGGAUUACGUUGCUAGAGAGUGGGGGAGAAAGCAGCAGCAGCAGCCAAGAUCGGCCCUGCAGCUUGUAGCUCAUGCAAGAGGCAUUCAUGCAGUGUGAGGGGCCAUUGGCAAUAGGAGCCACCUGGGCCUCAGUCUCUAGCUACUGAGGACAAGUUUCCUGACAUCACAGCUCUGGCUGGCCCACUCACUUGCCUCCCUAUCUGGGUCAUCUGCUGGAAAUUGAGGCAACUGGGCUUGACACAAUUUUUAAAAUGUAUUUCAAAGUGGCAUCACGAUAGAUCAGCAAGGUAAACAAAGAUAAACCACCCGUGAGGCAGCUAGCAGCACUUUCCAGCACUUAAGUGACACAACAAUGAAAUAGAAGCGGAUAGGAAGAAAAAAAGAGAGAAGAAUUUGGAUUACAGGGUAUCCUGCAGGCUAUCCUGCAGUCUGAGACACACAAUGAUCCUGGCAUCCAAUACUUGACGAACCCCACAGACACAAUUUACUCCUACACAGGCAUUCACAAAUGCCAAAACAAUUCAAAAUAAAUCAUGUUCACAAUUGAGUUAAAAUAAACAACCCCCUUGUGGCUGUUUGAAAUACCUUGUUUUCUGACAAAAAAAAUGCACACUUAGCUGUACGUCAUGUAAAGUUGUAUUUUUAAGUUGAUUUCAAGCAUGCUGACACAAAUCUGGGAGUAUUUCAGUGUGUAACUGCACCCUUAGUUAAGUUUUAUUUGGAUUAUUGUAAUGUGUCUUGUGUGAUGCUGAAUUUUUAAAAGAAAAGUUUGGAAAUUUCAGAUGGGCAAAAUACUAUGGCCAGACUUUUGACUGGAGCCGCCUGCAGAGAAUAUGCAAGACUAGCUUCACCAGUCCAACUCUUCAAAGCCAUGGGAUUUGCUUCAUUAGUACAUUAUAUCAUAGAAUCAAAUGUGCCAGCACACAGUCAUUCUGAACCAAGCUGCAGUGGCCAUGACUUUUGGUGUGUCCUGUGGACAAGAUUAAUUCUUCCCAACCUGACUCCUGAACAAGCAGCUGAUGGAGAGAUGGAAGAAGUGGAAUUGAAGCAGAAGAGUGUGGAGGGUAGUAAUGAAGCUUGGGACCCUAAUUUUAGAGUAAAUGGAAGUGAUUGGAGAAGUAUGAUGUGGACUCUCCAACAGGGUUCUUUAUCCUGUUGGUGCAGAUGGCAGUAGCAAAUCAAGACAGUGGAAGUAAUAGGGGCCAGGUUUUAAGAACGUGAAGGAAAAAAAAAAGUCAGAACUUUAUCUCCCCAUGUAGCUGCACUCUCAGUUUCUGGAUAUUCAUUAAAGGUAGAACUAACAACAGUGUGAGAGGAAUCUGAUCGUUUUGUACCUAUGAUAUGCGUUCCUAAGGUCAGAUCAGUUUCACCUGAAGCCUUCCAGCACUAUCUUCUGCAGCCAAUCUGCCAGGAAAAGUCAGAACCUGUUCAAAAAGUUGCCCAUAGGUCAGAUCAGAAUGAAGUAAUCUAACAGAAUAUUAUGAUCUGUGAACACUCAGAUGCUCAGCAGCCUAGCAGAAUGAAAAAUAAUACAUUCCCAAUUUUAAUUUCCAACCUAGACUAUACACACUAAUGUAACCAAGGUUGUCUCAGUCUACAAACUGCACUGAGAUACUGUAAGUCUACAUAACAAAUCCAAAACAAAAUUUAGGGAAACACAAGAAAAACAAAUCAUUAUUUGUAACAUAGGCGCACUGUUUUAAUGCUUCAGUUCUUAAUUUUAAAAUAUGUGCAACUGAAUCAGAUCUAAUCUACAUAAUAUUUUGGAUGUUUGGGAUGUAUUUACUUUUUUACAUAAUAAAUAGCUUCAGAACUUUUAAUUAACA
ensembl:lncRNA